rnacentral:tRNA from 1 species
GGGGGCGUAGGUCAGAUGGUAGAGCGCUCGCUUCGCAUGCGAGAGGUACGGGGAUCGAUACCCCGCGUCUCCA